rnacentral:rRNA from 1 species
CCCUUAGAUGUCCUGGGCCGCACGCGCGCUACACUGAUGCAUGCAACGAGUUUAUAACCUUGGCCUGAAAGGUCUGGGUAAUCUUUUGAACGUGCAUCGUGAUAGGGAUAGAUUAUUGCAAUUGUUAAUCUUGAACGAGGAAUUCCUAGUAAACGCGAGUCAUCAGCUCGCGUUGAUUACGUCCCUGCCCUUUGUACACACCGCCCGUCGCACCUACCGAUUGAAUGGUUCGGUGAAGAUCUCGGACUUCGAUAUUUAUUCUUUAUUGAGUUUAUAUUGUGGGAAGUUAUCUAAACCUCAUCAUUUAGAGGAAGGUGAAGUCGUAACA